rnacentral:rRNA from 1 species
UACGUAGGGUGCGAGCGUUAAUCGGAAUUACUGGGCGUAAAGGGUGCGCAGGCGGUUAUUUAAGACAGAUGUGAAAUCCCCGGGCUCAACCUGGGAACUGCGUUUGUGACUGUAUGACUAGAGUACGGUAGAGAGGGGUGGAAUUCCUGGUGUAGCAGUGAAAUGCGUAGAUAUCAGGAGGAAUACCGAUGGCGAAGGCAGGUCUCUGGGCUGACACUGACGCUCAUGCACGAAAGCGUGGGGAGCAAACAGG